CACGUAGGAGGCGAGCGUUGUCCGGAAUCAUUGGGCGUAAAGAGCUCGUAGGCGGCUUGUCACGUCGGGUGUGAAAGCCCGGGGCUUAACCCCGGGUCUGCAUUCGAUACGGGCUGGCUAGAGUGUGGUAGGGGAGAUCGGAAUUCCUGGUGUAGCGGUGAAAUGCGCAGAUAUCAGGAGGAACACCGGUGGCGAAGGCGGAUCUCUGGGCCAUUACUGACGCUGAGGAGCGAAAGCGUGGGGAGCGAACAGG
rnacentral:rRNA from 1 species